rnacentral:rRNA from 1 species
GACGAACGCUGGCGGCGUGCCUAAUACAUGCAAGUUGAGCGCUGAAGGUUGGUACUUGUACCAACUGGAUGAGCAGCGAACGGGUGAGUAACGCGUGGGGAAUCUGCCUUUGAGCGGGGGACAACAUUUGGAAACGAAUGCUAAUACCGCAUAAAAACUUUAAACACAAGUUUUAAGUUUGAAAGAUGCAAUUGCAUCACUCAAAGAUGAUUCCGCGUUGUAUUAGCUAGUUGGUGAGGUAAAGGCUCAACAAGGCGAUGAUACAUAGCCGACCUGAGAGGGUGAUCGGCUACAAUGGGACUGAGACACGGCCCAAACUCCUACGGGAAGCAGCAGGAGGGAAUCUUCGGACAUGGACGAAAGUCUGAACGAGCAACGCCGCGGGAGGGAAGAAGGUUUUCGGAUCGUAAAACUCUGUUGGUAGAGAAGAAAGUUGGUGAGGGUGGAAAGCUCAUCAAGUGACGGUAACUACACAGAAAGGGACGGCUAACUACGUG